rnacentral:rRNA from 1 species
UAGGGAAUCUUCGGCAAUGGACGAAAGUCUGACCGAGCAACGCCGCGUGAGUGAAGAAGGUUUUCGGAUCGUAAAACUCUGUUGUUAGAGAAGAACAAGGACGUUAGUAACUGAACGUCCCCUGACGGUAUCUAACCAGAAAGCCACGGCUAACUACGUGCCAGCAGCCGCGGUAAUACGUAGGUGGCAAGCGUUGUCCGGAUUUAUUGGGCGUAAAGCGAGCGCAGGCGGUUUCUUAAGUCUGAUGUGAAAGCCCCCGGCUCAACCGGGGGGGGUCAUUGGAAACUGGGAGACUUGAGUGCAGAAGAGGAGGGUGGAAUUCCAUGUGUAGCGGUGAAAUGCGUAGAUAUAUGGAGGAACACCGGUGGCGAAGGCGGCUCUCUGGUCUGUAACUGACGCUGAGGCUCGAAAGCGUGGGGAGCAAACAGG